rnacentral:misc_RNA from 1 species
GAACGCACCUUGCGCCCCUUGGCUAUUCCGAGGGGCAUGCCUGUUUGAGUAUCAUGAACACCUCAACUCUCAUGGUUUGCCAUGAUGAGCUUGGAUUUUGGGGGUUUUGCCGGCCUAGUGUCGGCUCCUCUCACAUGGAUCAGCCUGCCAGUGUUUGGUGGCAUCACGGGUGUGAUAACUAUCUACGCUUGUGGUUUUCCACCACGUAACCUUCAGCGAUGGAGGUUCGCUGGGCUCACAGAUGUCGCUCCUCGGCGAGGACGGCUUUUGAACGUUUGAUCUCAAAUCAGGUAGGACUACCCGCUGAACUUAAG